UCCUCUCAGGAAGCUCCCUUGGGGAGAGCUGGUUAGGCUGUACGGAUGUGAGGCUCCACGGAGUGGCACGGACUGCAGAAGCCAAAAGGAAUCAGACGUCCUUCAUCACACCGAAGAUCCAGUUUAGGACAGCUGAGGUGAUUGUGGCUCCUCACUUUGCGGACUUGCCAAAAUUGCCUGUGGUGGCAGGGGCAACACUGCGGAGAUGCGCCGCCGGGGUGGUGAUAAUGGAGCAGCAGACUCAGCCUCAACACGACGUCUCUUGGUUGGCCUCCUAGGCACACUCACCGAGCCCUGUGAUGGUCGCCUUAGUGGAGGUCGGCUUGCAGAAGAAGAACCUAUGUGAUAAGAGAAACAUUAAUAUUUUGAACUUCAAUGUGUUUGCAGAAUAUGUGAUUACAGUGAAUUCUUACCUGCAUUUCCACCAUCUGCAUCACUUGGUAGUGUUGGCUGUGGCCUGGCUGUGGUGCUUCUCUGGCGUACUGUUAAAAAAUGUUAAAAAACAUUAUGAACAUACUUUGAAUACUCACUGUUAUCUGAAUUUCCUUAU